UUUUGACUAGUCUUCAGGAAAAUGGGAGAUUCAUCAAUAUCGUCAAAAAUAUCGAAAAUCUGGCAAGAGUUAUGGUCAGAAGUUCUGAAGAGAAUCUCUGCAAAAGAGUUGGUCAAAUGCAUUUGCGUCUGCAAAAGAGUUGGUCAAAUGCAUUUGCGUCUGCAAAACUUGGUACUCUCUCAUUCUCUCUUCUCAAUUCAAUCACUUCACACACACAAUUUCAGCAAACCCAUUCCACAUUCCUUCUUAGAAACUUCACCAAAGCUCCCUCUACAGGCUCUACUGGAAAUGGCGAAGAAUUCUACCAUCUUUUCAACAAUUCUGGAAGAAAUUUCUGGGAAUUUUAACAAGGGUCGUCUCCUCCAUUUUAAAACCAAAUUGGAUCUUAAUUUUCGUGUUGUGGGGUGUGUUCAUGGUGUUGUUGCUGAUGAUCACUUUGGUAAUACCCAUAAUUGUAUCUUGUGGAAUCCUUUGAUUAAGAAGCAUGUUAGGUUACCAAAAUCCAGAUAAUGUUGUGGGGCCUUGUAUGCAUGUUUAUGGAUUUGGGUAUUGAUUGCAAAACUCAGGUUUUGAGUGUGUUUAGGGUUUCAUUCAUUCAGCUUGGUUCUGGGUUGGAUGAAUUUCCUCCAAAAUCUGAGGUUUAUAGUGUUAAAUCAGGGGGUUUGGAAAUGGGUUUCUGCUGAUGAUGUCGGUACUUGCAUAAGUUGCAUUGCUGAGGAGAUGUGGUCUAGGCUCAAUAUUCUAUGCAAUGGUGUGUGUGUGUCCAUUGGGUUGGAUUCAAUAGGAACAAGCGGAUUCGGCGCUUAAGAUCAAUUGUUUGUUGUUGUUUGAUGUUGAGGAAGGGAGGUUUUAGGAAGAUGGAAUUUCCUUUAGCAUUGCUUGAGGUUUGCCCCCUUGUUCUCGAGAUUCUUGAGGUCAUGGGUUUGCUGUCAAUGAACCUUGAUGAGAUGGAUGGAGACCAGUUUGAGAUUUGGAUUCAGAAGGAGUAUGGUGUUGUUGAUUCUUGGAGUAAGGAGUAAGAUUCCCAAUGUUGAUAGCGGAGGGGCGAAUUUACUGAAGGUUCUGAAGUGAAAAAUCAUGGUUUUGGUGUCGAGAAGGGAAGCUGGUUGCUUGGAAUCCCGACACUAAAACCAUGCAUUUUCUUCACAACGAUAGAGAUUUCGCUGCAUAGAAGGGCUUUCCUUUCUUGGGGAGCCGGGUUUUCAUGGGAAAAAGAUUGUGAGAGUGGGACUACUGUGGGAGGACUGUCGUUUUGGACGAAGAUGACAUUGACAGCAGUGAAGACGAGAAUAAUUCACAUCUAGAUGCAAUAAGAGCACGCAUGGGAAGAGUUCUUUUAUUGUGCAAUCAAAUGUUGAAGUUCCGUCGAGAUUUUUACAGAUUUGUUUACAGGUGUUUUGGAUAUAUGUCUACUACGAAUAAACAUCUGUGAUUGUUUAAUUAGCACCAUUAUCAGCAACUGAGCUCUUCUCAUCUCUGUUUAUGGAGGUUCAUUAUCCAGCUUCUUCGGGUAUGUUUUUCGAUCUUAAUUAGUUGCAUUUAAUUACCAACUUUAGUGUAAUUUCUUCUUUUUGUAUUUUCUCUUGAAACCCGUAAAAUUCUUCAUACAUUGUUACACUUCUAUUGAACCCCACUUUGUCCACGUUUGAAUUGUCCCACCACGUAGGAGAUCGAAAAGGAGUGAAUAUAACUAUUUUGUAAGUUUUACGUCCUGCUACUCAAAUUGUUUAUUGGUUUUUGAUAAAACUUUAUAUAGGCAUGCAUAUGUUCACAACACCUAUAAUUAGUUUGGUCAACUAUACUCCGGUUGCAUCAAAUGUUUUGUAAGUAAUACAUAUGUGUUGAGCUGAUGAUCAUUUACUCUUUUUUUAUAAUAAUAAUAGGCACAUAAGAUUGUAUCCAAAUCAACUGGCUUUUGUGAUCAAGAAUACUGGGGUGAAUUUGACGGGUAACAGACUAACAGUUCAAAACGUCAGAUCCAUAGCAAAAAGGGGGGGAAAUGCCAGAUCCAUGUUGUGCAAGUAUGUUCUUUUUUUUUUUACUCUGUGUUAAUGAAACCUUAAUUAGGUUAGAACAAAAAAAGAAAAAAAUAAGUAAGAAG